rnacentral:rRNA from 1 species
UACGGAGGGUGCAAGCGUUGUCCGGAAUCACUGGGCGUAAAGCGCACGUAGGCGGCUUCUUAAGUCGGUGGUGAAAUCCUGGAGCUCAACUCCAGAACUGCCUUCGAUACUGGGAGCUCGAGUCCGGGAGAGGUGAGUGGAACUGCGAGUGUAGAGGUGAAAUUCGUAGAUAUUGCAAGAACACCAGUGGCGAAGGCGGCUCACUGGCCCGGUACUGACGCUGAGGCACGAAAGCGUGGGGAGCAA